UUCGAUCUCAAAUCAGGUAGGACUACCCGCUGAACUUAAGCAUAUCAAUAAGCGGAGGAAAAGAAACUAACAAGGAUUCCCCUAGUAACUGCGAGUGAAGCGGGAAAAGCUCAAAUUUAAAAUCUGGCGUGCCUCUGGUCGUCCGAGUUGUAGUUUAGAGAAGCGUUUUCUGUGUUGGACCGUGUAUAAGUCUCUUGGAACAGGGCGUCAUAGAGGGUGAGAAUCCCGUCUUUGACACGGACUACCAAUGCUUUGUGAUACGCUCUCAAAGAGUCGAGUUGUUUGGGAAUGCAGCUCAAAAUGGGUGGUAAAUUCCAUCUAAAGCUAAAUAUAGGCGAGAGACCGAUAGCGAACAAGUACCGUGAGGGAAAGAUGAAAAGCACUUUGGAAAGAGAGUUAAACAGUACGUGAAAUUGCUGAAAGGGAAACGCUUGAAGUCAGUCACGUCUGCCAGGACUCAGCCUUGCUUCUGCUUGGUGUACUUUCUGGUUGGAUGGGCCAACAUCGAUUUCGACCGUUGGAGAAAGGCUUUGGGAAUGUGGCACCUUCGGGUGUGUUAUAGCCCUUUGUCGUAUACAAUGGUUGGGAUCGAGGACUGCAGCAUGCCUUCAUGGCCGGGGUUCGCCCACGUACAUGCUUAGGAUGUUGGCAUAAUGGCUUUAAGCGACCCGUCUUGAAACACGGA
rnacentral:rRNA from 1 species